AAUCAGCUUCAGAAAGUCCAUAUUUACUGCCUUUUUAACUUCCAAAUAUUUUAUACCAUUCAAUUUUUUUCAACAUUCCUGUUCUUGAAAAAUCUUUGAAGAUCUCUGUUUUCUUGUUCUUGAAAAACCUUCAUACAAAGUUGUUUCUUUUUCAAUUUCCAAACCCCAAAUCAAAGAUUGCUAAUCUGCUUUCAAAGUUUAUUCCUUUUUUCUUUUUAUGGGAAUUCCCUUUCAAGAAAGCAGCAAAGACACUCCAUUCAUCUUCAAUUGGAUCCAACAUUCCAUUUAUUGAAACUCUGCUGUCAAAGCUCUGUUUUCUUUUUCUUUCAUAUGAUUUAACAGUCAGAAUCAGAGAUAUAAUGUGGGGCGCCGUUCAAUUGGGAGUAUUGGCGGCCUUUCUUGUACUCUUUGUCCCUGUCGGUAUGGCUGGUUGGCACUUGAGUCGCAACAAAAUGUUAUUUUUCAGCUGUGCCCUCUUUAUUACCCUUGCUGUUUGUGUUCAUUUGACCCCUUAUUUCCCUUCAGUCUCCUCUAUUAUGCUUUCUUCACCAGGUUCACUAUCCUUAUCUUCAUCAUCAUCAAAUGGAAAUCUUGAUUCUUGUAUUUCUUUACUUCACCAAGUAGCAUUUGAUUUUCAAGAAUUGAAUAAUGAGAAUAGUAGUGUGGAAAAUACUGUUAGGAGUAGUUGUGAGGAGUCUUGGAGGUGGAUUGAGUCUGAGCCUGUUGUUCAAUGUGAUUUCCAUAAGUUGUCCAAGUCUGAUGCUUCAGAUUUGUUUAAUGGGUCAUGGGUUGUUGUUGCUGGGGAUUCACAGGCAAGGUUAUUUGUAGUUUCUUUGUUGGAGUUGUUAUUGGGGGAAAGUGAAAUGGAGAUGAUUAGGGGGGAUUUGUUCAAGAGGCAUAGUGAUUACAACAUACUUAUUGAUGAGAUUGGGAUGAAGUUAGAUUUUAUUUGGGCCCCUUAUGUGAGUAACUUGACUGAUUUGGUUCUGGGGUUUGAAGAGAAAAAGAGCCCUUAUCCUGAUGUAUUCGUGAUUGGGACAGGGCUAUGGGAUAUGUUACAUAUAAAUAAUGCAACUGAUUAUGGUGUUUCCUUAAAGUUGUUAGGGGAUUUGGUGGUAUUGCUGUUACCAGUACCUUCAGAUUUUGUAAAUGAUGGAGCUGGCACGAAUUUAGUUUCAGUUCGUUCACCCAACUUCUUUUGGCUGGGAAUGCCAAAGCUGAUAAACUCUAUGUUGAAUACAGAUGAGAAGCGAGAGAAGAUGAGUGAUGUGAUAUGGAAAGCUUAUACCGAUGAGCUUUAUAGCAGUAAGCUGCUGCGACAAUCUGGUGGACCACUUUUGUUGCUGGACAUUCAUGCAUUGAGUAAUAAUUGUGGAGCUCAUUGUACUGCUGACGGAAUGCAUUAUCACAGAGUUGUAUAUGAAGCUGCAGUUCAUGUAAUGCUAAAUGGAUUGCUUAUAGAAUCUAAUCAGAAGCUGUAAUGGAGCCAGGGUAAUAGAAUUAGUUUUGUAAUUGCUAGAGCUUUCAUUAUUAUAUGUGAUUCUUUUCCUGAUGUUACACUCAUCAACUGAAGAUCAGUGGUAAGAAGUUUUUGAUGGUAGUCCUUACUGAGGUUCAUAUACACUCCCCCCUCCCUUUUUCUUGAAUUGUCGAAUUACUAAUACUCAUACAGCUUAUAUGUUGGAGCAAGGAAACCUGUUGUCUCAGUCUCACAACAAAUUUCAACAGGAACAUGUAUAGAGAUUCACAUCAAUGUUUAAUGGUUUUAAUAUCUCGAUGAAAUGCACCUAUAUUCAGUUUUCUCUUGCAUUCCAUACAAAGCUGAUCUAAUUUCUUUCAGAGCUAGGCAAAUAUGGUAAAAAACAUAUUGGUGAUUCUCUUUGUGCCCUUUUAUUCUUUCCCAUCAGGUUGAACAGGUCCUCAGACCUAUACAUGUUAAAUUCCUGCUAUUCUUUGUCAAAAUCAUUGUUGAAAAUGUAGUCCAAACAUCCAAUAAGCUAGUAUGUAUAUAUAUAUAUAUAUUCAUAUCCAACCAAUAGUAUGAGCUGAAAUUUCAUAGCAAAAUUCAUUUUGACCAAUAUGCUGUCUCCUGAAAUGGAGGUCCUUAGAUUUAAGCUCUACUCAGUGAUUAGUUGCUGCUAACUCCCAAGCGAUUAUAUGUCAAGUUGAAUAAUUUUCCCUCAGAUACCUUCUUGGUUAUGUUUUAUUAACGAAACUUUACUCGUAAAAAAAGGAGACAGGUGAACAGUUUCUAAGUUUAGAUUAUUUUUGAGUAAUUUAUGGAUUAUACAAUUUAGAUAUUAGUUCUUUAGCUAAUGAACUAAAGUGGACGUGUAGGUUUACAGUCAGUUACACAACUACAUUCUAGGAAACUAGUUGCACGAUACAGCUUAAUCACACUUGAGUUCCUGCAUUAUACUUAUGAGCCAGAGCUACAAACUUUUGUGAAGUUUGUCUUUGGAUGCGUUAGAUUUUGAUGUAGUUUCUUUUUUGACGGAGGUUCUUAUCUAGAGUGCGGGAUGUUUAAAACCUUUGAUUGGAAAAUAGGUAAUUAGGACUAGGAAAAACUUACACCUCUGUCUAUAAGCCCACCUCCCUCCAAAGGAAAGGGAAAAGAGAACUACAUAUUCUAUUUGAGGCUUAUUAAGAUGUAUGAGAACUGAGAAAGGUGUGUGUUGUUUGCUUUCUUAGUCCCUUGAAACAGACUUGAUUCAGCAUAAAAGGAAGUUGCAGAUACAUAUUAUACAGAAGGUUGUCUCUCAAACUAAUCUUUUGACAGGAAUGAAAUGGGCCAACUUUGUGGAAAUACUGAUACCUCAAGGUUGCACAGAGUACUUUAUGCUGCUAAAGGAGGGAUGCUCUGUUCGUUCCAGAAGAAGUUAUCUGGAUCAACCAAAGUCUUGACUUGGACCAAUUUAUUAAAAUUAUCCUUGAAAUACUUCAAUCCAUAAACACGACCUUCAAUGUAGCGAUUGUUUCCAUUAUGGUUGACCCCUAUGUCAAGGUCUCUAUAAUUUAAAUAUGCACAUCUUGGGGAUUUUGACACAAAAGGAGUCAUGUAGUUGUGCAAUACUCUGGUCUGGUUCAAAUAGAAGUUCUCUGCUUCCUUUCCUUCUUUUCCCCAGUUUGCUGCAUACUGGAUUUUAAAUAUAUUUCCUGCUCUGUGAGGAAAUGGAGUUUCCCAUUCUGGUAUUUCACUCAUCCUUCCACCAUAUUGAUUGAAUACUAAUUCUGUGUCUCCUAAUUCAAUCAUUUUAUCUAACAGAGAUUUGAGCUCAUCCUUGGGAAUGGGUUUCUGCAAAUAGUCUGACUUGCGCUUCAGAAACUUUGCUCCAGGUUUUCGGUUGAGCAAAACAUCAGGCUGUGUUCCAUUAGGGAAACUUGCCCAGAAAAGUGCAGACUCUAUCCAACUCAUUUCCUUGCAAUCCUCGAUAUGUAAACCCAAUUGAGGAAAAUCUUUAUUCAUGAUGGAUAGAAGUUCUUUGGAAUCUCCAAGAAAUAAUGAUACAAAUGUUGCUGUUAUUGUCUUAGUUCCUUUUUGCUUCUCAUCAAUAGGUUUUAGAGCUAACCUUAUAAAGAGAUUGUUAUCUAUUUUCUCUGCAAUGAAUUGCCACCAGUAAACAAUGUCAAUUGCAUUUUCUUCGAGGGUCCUCACUACCCGGAAAACAGUAACAACAUCAGGAACUUUUACCAAUCUAAGUUUGUAGGCCGAUAUCACUCCAAAGCUAGCACCACCCCCACCUCUGAUCGCCCAAAACAGGUUACCGUAUCCUCCUCCAGUUAUGUGUCCACCAACACCAACAGUUGGGCAAACACCAGCUGGGAAGGCAUGAACUUUGCUUUUCUCCCAAAUUCUGUAGUAAAGUUCGCCUAGAAGUGCACCAGCUUGGACCCAAGCAGUUUCAUUUUGGAUAUCUACAUCAAUUGAAUGCAGGUUAGACAUGUCAAGAAGAACAAAACUGAUGUUGGAGACAUAAGAAAUGCCUUCGUAGUCAUGCCCUCCACUUCGGAUCUUUAGGUACUUGUCAGUUUUCCUGCAGCAAGUGACAGCAACCUGAACAUGGGAUUCUUGCAACGGAGUGAAAAUAAUGUCGGGUUUUGGAGUGGUUGAUCUAUUGAACCUCUGGUUUCUGAUAUAGUGUUGUAGCACAGACUUAUAUGAGGAGUUGUUUGGAGUGUACACUCUUGACAGUAUGUGGUCAGAUGGACGUGAAUGUUCGGAUAAGCACUGAAGGAAACUCAGGUAUGAUGGAGUUGAGGCUGACAACGGAACAAAAUGGAUAACAAAAAGGAACGAAGAAAAGGUUAGAAAGAGAGGGUUCUCCAUAUCGAAACCCUGGUUUCCUUGUUUUCUUUUAUUUUUCCGCUAUGGGGACAUGGAGAGUUAAGCUAUUCCAGGCCAACUAGAAAUAUAACAAGAGAAGAUGCCAGCAAAUCAGGUGUAAUACAAAGUUCAUCAAGCAGACUGUUGUGCCUUCUUUUCUUCUUCAUAAUGUUGUGAACUGGAGUAGAAAACUAUCUUUUUUGUCAUCUUGCAGUUUAGUAGUACUAAGUGAAUGUAGAUCCUCUCCAUAUUUACUUGUCUUCUCACGCCGGUUCUUUAAACUAUAGACUCCUAAUCGAAACCUUGAUUUGAGUUCUACAAACUGACAAAAUGCAUCA